rnacentral:rRNA from 1 species
GGCGCACGGGUGAGUAACACGUAGGUAAUUUGCCUUCGGGUGGGGAAUAACAGCCGGAAACGGCUGCUAAUACCGCAUAAUGCAGCGGCUCGACAUCGAGACAGUUGUUAAAGCGGGGGAUCGCAAGACCUCGCGCCUGAAGAGAAGCCUGCGGCAGAUUAGCUAGUCGGUAGGGUAAUGGCCUACCAAGGCAACGAUCUGUAACCGGCCUGAGAGGGCGGUCGGUCACACUGACACUGACAUACGGGUCAGACUCCUACGGGAGGCAGCAGUCGGGAAUUUUGGGCAAUGGGCGAAAGCCUGACCCAGCAACGCCGCGUGAAGGAUGAAAUCCCUCGGGAUGUAAACUUCGCAAGAACAGGAAGAAUAAGCGUGGGCUAAUAUCCCACGUGAUGACGGUACUGUUUGUAAGCUCCGGCUAACUCCGUGCCAGCCGCCGCGG